rnacentral:rRNA from 1 species
CUUUACACAUGCAAGUCGAGCGGAAAGGCCCUUCGGGGUACUCGAGCGGCGAACGGGUGAGUAACACGUGAGCAACCUGCCCCAAGCUUUGGGAUAACCCCGGGAAACCGGGGCUAAUACCGAAUAUUACCUGGCCUCGCAUGAGGUUGGGUGGAAAGUUUUUCGGCUUGGGAUGGGCUCGCGGCCUAUCAGCUUGUUGGUGGGGUGAUGGCCUACCAAGGCGACGACGGGUAGCCGGCCUGAGAGGGCGACCGGCCACACUGGGACUGAGACACGGCCCAGACUCCUACGGGAGGCAGCAGUGGGGAAUAUUGCACAAUGGGCGGAAGCCUGAUGCAGCGACGCCGCGUGAGGGAUGACGGCCUUCGAGUUGUAAACCUCUUUUUCCAGGGACUAUCCGAAAGUGAUCGCACCUGCCGAGGAA